CCCCUGGGGGACACCACUAUUUACCUCUCUCCAUUCUGAAAACUAACCAUUUAUUCUUACCCUUUGCUUCCUAUCUUUUAACCAGUUAUUGAUCCAUGAGAGUAACGUCCUUCUUAUCCCAUAACUACUUACUUUGCUUAAGAGCCUUUUGUGAGGGACCUUGUCAAAGGCUUUCUGAAAAUCUAAGUACACUCUAUCCACUGGAUCACCUUUGUCCACAUACUUGUUGACCCCCUCAAAGAAUUUUAGUAGAUUGGUGAGGCAUGAUUUCCCUGUAUAAAAACCAUGCUGACUCUUCCCUAACAAAUCAUGUUCAUUUAUCUGUCUGAUAAUUCUGUUCAGCACUAGGCAAAUUGAUUGCAACUACAGUAAAGAAGUGAGGCUUACUGUCUUGUAAUUGCAGGGAUUGCCUCUGGAGCCCUUUUAAAAAUUGGUAUCACAUUAGCUAUCCUCCAGUCAUUUGGUACAGAAGCUGAUUUAAAUGAUAGGUUACAGACUACAGUUACAUAGGUUUUAGUACC